CCAAAUUAAACCUAGCCGCCUCCCUCUGCAUCUCCAAGGCGCCUCUCGGCCGUUCGCGAGCAGGGCCUCCGUCGCCGGCGAGUACUGGCUGCUGGUGAUGCAGCUCACGAUCACACCUCCAACUACUCUCCUCAUACCAUCAGAUCCCCUAAUUCCGUGAAACGCUCGUGCAGUCAAGAUUUGUUUGAGCCCACUCCAUGACGCGGAGGUUUGCCGAAUAGCCGUCGCGCCGAGUUGCAUCACAGAGGGCGCGAUGGUGCAAGGGCACGACAGAGGAAUACUCUGCAUCCUUUGCAAGUGUGAUGGCCUAGAAUAAAGGGCAGCAGCGCGUGUGGAAGCUACACGACACGAUAUGGCGCAACAAGAAAGCUUAAGCGGACACAGCCACAUGCCAUCAACAGUAACAAGCAGCAGGAGGAUGACUUGCAUAGAAUCUUACAUAACAAAAAAGCGAAUUGAGAAGCUCUUGAUACCUUACUGAAGAUAAUAUAUUGUGAGUUGAUUAUCUGGAGCGUUGGAGAUAUUUCACAGGGCACAUGAUGUAAAUAUAAUGAUGGGCUAUUGUGUGAGCAACAUGCAGACCAAGGGGCAGAAGGCACAAUAGAGAAUUUUAUUUUCUUUCUUAUAUUAGAAAUUAAGGAGUUGAACAAAAAUGUGCCACGAAGCCUAUGGCUAACUAGUUGAUUUAAUUUUGUU